AUUGAACGCUGGCGGCAUGCUUUACACAUGCAAGUCGAACGGUAACAGGCCGCAAGGUGCUGACGAGUGGCGAACGGGUGAGUAAUGCAUCGGAACGUGCCCUGUCGUGGGGGAUAACGCAGCGAAAGCUGUGCUAAUACCGCAUACGAUCUGUGGAUGAAAGCGGGGGACCGAAAGGCCUCGCGCGAUUGGAGCGGCCGAUGUCAGAUUAGGUAGUUGGUGGGGUAAAGGCUCACCAAGCCAACGAUCUGUAGCUGGUCUGAGAGGACGACCAGCCACACUGGGACUGAGAAACGGCCCAGACUCCUACGGGAGGCAGCAGUGGGGAAUUUUGGACAAUGGGCGCAAGCCUGAUCCAGCAAUGCCGCGUGCAGGAAGAAGGCCUUCGGGUUGUAAACUGCUUUUGUACGGAGCGAAAAGGCUCUCUCUAAUACAGGGGGCUCAUGACGGUACCGUAAGAAUAAGCACCGGCUAACUACGUGCCAGCAGCCGCGGUAAUAC
rnacentral:rRNA from 1 species